AAAUUUAAGCAACUGUCAUUUGACUGUUUGAAUGAAUAAUCAGAUCUUAUACUCACUCAAAUCUUCUCUUUCAGCAGAGAACACAGAACUUGCAUCGUUCCCCAGCUGACCCUAGUAUUCAGAACUCAGAUGAAUGUGAGGUGUGCCGGGAUGGAGGAACACUCUUCUGCUGUGAUACUUGUUUCAGAGCCUUCCAUGAGGACUGUCAUAUCCCAACAGUGGAAGCUGAGAUAACACCAUGGAGUUGCAUCUUCUGUAGAAUGCAGUCCUUAGGAAGUCAACCGAGUCUUCCAGAAUCUGAGAUACUGCAGAGGGAGAUGGCUCCCCAGGAACAGUUGAAGUGUGAGUAUGUUCUCUUGAGAGUCUAUUGCUGUUCUGAGAGCUCCUUUUUUUUCCAAGAUGCCAUAUUAUUAUUAUUUUAGAGAGAUGACUGUGGGUGUGCAAGAGCCUAUGUGGUUGGACAU